rnacentral:rRNA from 1 species
AUACGGAGGAUGCAAGCGUUAUCCGGAUUCAUUGGGUUUAAAGGGUGCGCAGGCGGAACUAUAAGUCAGUUGGUGAAAGCCUACAGCUCAACUGUAGAAUUACCAUUGAUACUGUAAUUCUUGAGUAUAUUUGGAGUGGGCGGAAUGUAUCAUGUAGCGGUGAAAUGCUUAGAUAUGAUACAGAACACCAAUCGCGAAGGCAGCUCACUAAACUAUAACUGACGCUCAUGCACGAAAGCGUGGGGAUC